UACAGAGGGUGCAAGCGUUGUUCGGAAUUAUUGGGCGUAAAGGGCGCGUAGGCGGUUCGGCAAGUCUCUAGUGAAAUCUCUGGGCUCAACUCAGAGUCUGCUGGGGAAACUGCCGGGCUUGAGUGUGGGAGAGGAGAGUGGAAUUCCCGGUGUAGCGGUGAAAUGCGCAGAUAUCGGGAAGAACACCCGUGGCGAAGGCGGCUCUCUGGGACGGUACUGACGGCUGAGA
rnacentral:rRNA from 1 species